rnacentral:rRNA from 1 species
CAGCAGCCGCGGUAAAACGUAGGUGGCAAGCGUUGUCCGGAAUUAUUGGGCGUAAAGGGCUCGCAGGCGGUUUCUUAAGUCUGAUGUGAAAGCCCCCGGCUCAACCGGGGAGGGUCAUUGGAAACUGGGAAACUUGAGUGCAGAAGAGGAGAGUGGAAUUCCACGUGUAGCGGUGAAAUGCGUAGAGAUGUGGAGGAACACCAGUGGCGAAGGCGACUCUCUGGUCUGUAACUGACGCUGAGGAGCGAAAGCGUGGGGAGCGAACAGGAUUAGAUACCCGCGUAGUCCCUGUCUCUUAUAC